rnacentral:lncRNA from 1 species
GGCUGCUGGUUCUUCCAGGAGCGCGCAUGAGCGGACGCUGCCUACUGGUGGCCGGGCGGGAUGUAACCGGCUGCUGAGCUGGCAGUUCUGUGUCGCUAGGCUUCUGCCCGGCCGCCGCCGCACAUAAGCCACGAGGAGGAGCUUUACGACUUCCCGGUCUUCGGCGCCGGGCGCAGCAAGGGCCAGACUCUGCGCUAGCAGGCGCUGCGCGCCAACCGGCCGGCACCUGUCGCAGAAGGUGCAACCGAUCGCACUGUCGCGCAGAAGCUCCUCAAUGGCCAGCGCCAGCUGCAGCCCCGGCCGCCCACUCGCCUCAUCUGAGCCUGGGCAAAUCUGGAUUGGGAAAGUUGACAUUAAUCAACUCAUUAUUCCUCACAGAUUUGUAUUCUCCAGAGUAUCCAGGUCCUUCUCAGAGAAUUAAAAAGCCUGUACAGGUCUAGAUAUUGGUAUUUUUAAUUGAUGAUAAGCUGGAAUAAUAUUAAUACACACAAAGCACGUGUUGUAACUUUCAUUAUGCUUCCUUAGAGGUAAGAUGCAAAUUUGCCCUUAGCCAGUGUAAGAUGGUAAAUAUGACUUCAUAAAAUCAAAAAAACAGAAGAAGUACAGUUAAUCGAAAGAUUAUCUUGACUAGAACUUUCCAAAUUUGUCCUAAGGAUUCUCCUAGAGAUGACACUGUGACAUAGUAACCAAUUCCCCUGGAGUUGUGCUAUGUAGUAUGAUAGUCAUUUGCCACAUGUUUAAAUCAAUUAAAAUUAAUUAAAUUAAAAUGCAAUUUCUCAUUUGCUCCAGAUACAUUUCAAGUGCUCAACAGCCACAUGUGGCAAGUGGCUGCCAUUUUGUGCAGCACAUAUAUGAAGAUUUUCAUCAUUGUAGAAAAUUGCAUUGGACAGUGUAGAGAAAACAUGAUUCAUAGAAAAACUAUUGUUAUUUAAAUACAGUGUUCUAUAUUAGUCAGUGGGAUAAUACCAUAUCAUAGUUGAAUGGCAAUAGCAAUUCUGUAAGACUCCCAAGCUAUAUGUGAUCUAAUUUACUGCUUCUCAGUCUUUGCUAUGCAUUCCAAUCCUGGGUAUCCUGUUAAAUUUAUUUCUUCUAGUAGUUCUGAGAUGGGCUGCCUUUCUACAUUUCUAACAAGAUCCCAGGUGAUGCUGAUGCUGCUGGAUGGUAGAUCACACUUUAUAAAGCAAGGGGCUAGACUCUAGAUAUGCACUUUUUAUUAAAUAGUACAGCAGCCUGUAGCCACAUGUGGCUAUUAAUCUUUGAAAUGUGGGUAGUCUGAAUUGUGAUGUUCUGCAAACAUAAAAUAUGCCACAGAUUUCUAAGACUGAGCAUGGAAAAGAAAAUCUCCAUAAUUUUUUAUAUUGAUUGUAUACUGCAGUGAUAAUAUUUUGGAUGUAUCAGGUUAAAUAAAAUUGACUGAUUUCACCUUUUUCCUAUUUUAAAAGUGGCUACUAAGAAAAUUUUAAAUUACUUACAUGACCGACAUGGUAUUUUUAUUUGGCAGCGCUGCUCUAAGCUGUUGAUGAAAAAUAUUGUUGGUGAGCUCUGCUUAGGUAAUAUAUAGGACAUGAGCAGAGAGGAGGCACGUGAACAGUUCUGGCCUGGAGUAGGCUUCAUUGAGGCUGUGAUGCUUUUAGCUGGAUUUGAAGAAGUGGUAGUGAUCAUCCCAGUGCACAGGAUAGGUGGACAGUCUAUGUAUUCUGAGCAGUAACUCAUAUAUCUCAUACUGCAAGACCCCAAAGGAGUAAUUUUGUGAAGUAAAUAUCUUAUUUCUCCUUUUUAAUGUUUCUAUUUUAGGAAUUUUUUUUUUUUUUAGUAACCUUCAUAGGGCUUGAGAUUUAAAAUUACCUGCAAAAUUCUACUCUAAAAACUUGAUCCUACAUGCUUAUUUUGUGAUAAAUAUUGGAAAUUUUAAACCUAAGCAAGAAAAUGAACUUUGAACUUUCUUAAUUUGGGUAUCUAUUAUGAAUACCUUCACUUAAGUAUUUAUGAAUUUAGAUAUGAAAGGUAAAACUAACCACUAUCCAAAUUAAUAUACAGUUCAUUUCCAGAACCCUAGUUUCUUCCAUGUGCUCACUUGCAUUCAGUAUUACAACCCCCAAAGAUAAACACCUUACUGACUGCCUUCUCCAUAAAUUUGCCUGUUCUUGAAUGUUAUAUACGUAUACUUUUUUGUAUCUGUUUUCUUUCAGUGAAGAUUAUGUCUGUAUUAUUUACUCAUGUUGGGUGUAGUUGUUUUUUUCAUCGUCGUAUAAUACUCCAUUGUGUGAAUGUAUCAGUAUAUCCUUUAUUAUUUAUUUAAACUGACUUAAAUGUUUUUUGACACUUUGGUUAUAUUUAAGAAGUUGACUUCUCUAAUUUCCUUGUCAUGUUUAUUUUUAAAUAUCUUUCUCUUUAAAAGUUGGGAUACUAUAAUAAAUAUUCAGCAAGUAUUUUGUGUUUAAAUAUAAAAUCUUGUUAUUUGGAUUUUAAUACUUUAUAUAUAGUAUUUAUAUAUAUAAACAUAAACAAAACUAAAGACUCUAUGAAAGAAUCAAAUGGAUUUUCUAUAACUGAAAAUUUCAAUGACUAAAAUUAAGAUAUUACCAGAUAGGUUUAACAGCAAAUUCCAUAAAGUUGGUAAGAAAACAAGAAUACUCAAAAAAUGGAAAGAAGUAGAAAAUAAAAACACUGAGAAGCAUAGAAUGCAAAUUUAGAAAAGAGCUUAAGAGACAUAUCAGACAUGGUAAAAGGUUUAACACACAUAUAAUCAAACUUUCCUAGCUCUGUUCACGGAAAGGGCCUGGGAGCUGCAACACCUCAACAGCAACAAGCACACCUGCUACCUAGAACUUGGUUUCUAAAAACCAUCCUCCUCUAAAAGGAAACAGAGCUCUUUGAAGAAACGCAGAAGGUAAGCAUGAGCAAAUUACUUUUUAGAGGUAACUUUGCUGAACUUGUGAAGAAUGGUGUGCAAGGUCCAGAGCGACUGCAGGAGAGGGAAGGUGGGAUUCCCACAGAGCAGGAGCACAGAUAAGCCAAGCAAGGCCCUGCUUGGAAGGCAGCAAUCAACAGAGAUGCACAGACCUGUGAGGGUGCCGGGACAGCCAUGCAACAAUGCAGCCCUUUUGCUUCCUGAGCUCACCAGUUCCCUCGCUCCACCUCUGAGAGGUGGUUUGGAGAAACACAGCCCUUCUCAAGAGGGCUGCAAGCUACUUAAGUCCUGAAAAUUUCCACAAGGCUGAGUCAAAUCUGCGUUUCAUCAUCUAUAAGAAAGGUACCUAUCGAGAACACCCUGCUGGCCAGUGUGUAAAUAUCUAAAGGAGGACUCAGAAAACACCGGGGAAGUCCAGCCUGCACGUGGUGGCUGGGCUUCAGUGAAGCAUGCAGCACAACAGGAGUUGUAAGUAGUAGUUACAUCAGCAGCCCUGGAAAUUCUGCUCAGAACCAAACUGAACAAAUAACAUUAUCUAAGGCUUACAAUUAUUUAACUCCCUAAAUUUUCUGUCCUCCCAGUAGCACUUUCAAAUGCCUAAAAGCAAUUAAAAGAAACAUUUUUCCAAU